CUACCACAUCCAAGGAAGGCAGCAGGCGCGCAAAUUACCCACUCCCGGUACGGGGAGGUAGUGACGGAAAAUAACGAUACGGGACUCUUAGAGACCCCGUAAUCGGAAUGAGUUGAACAUAAAGUCUUCCAACGAGGACCAAUUGGAGGGCAAGUCCAGUGCCAGCCGCCGCGGUAACACUGGCUCCAAUAGCGUAUAUUAAAUUUGUUGCGGUUAAAAAGCUCGUAGUUGGAUCUGCGUGCCGGACGGUCGGCCCACCCGCGGGCUGGAUACCGACCGGAUCCGGCGCAUUUCAGUCGGUUUCGCCUGAUGAUCUUCACCGGUUGUCUGGCUGACCGACGCCUUUACUGUGAAAAAAUUAGAGUGCUCAAAGCAGGCGUGGCCUGGAUAAUGGUGCAUGGAAUAAUGGAAUAGGAUCUCGGUUCUAUUCUGUUGGUCUCCGGAACACGAGAUAAUGAUUAAGAGGGACAGACGGGGGCAUACGUACUGUUGCGUGAGUGGUGAAAUACAAUGACCGCAGCAAGACGAACAACUGCGAAAGCAUUUGCCAAGAAUGUUUCCAUUAAUUAAGAACGAAAGUCAGAGGAUCGAAGGCGAUCAGAUACCGCCGUAGUUCUGACCGUAAACGAUGCCAGCCAGCAAUCCGGCUGUGUUCCUCAAAUGACACGCCGGGCAGCUUCCGGGAAACCAAAGCUUUUGGGUUCCGGGGGGAGUAUGGUU
rnacentral:rRNA from 1 species